rnacentral:lncRNA from 1 species
UGUGACAAACUAUUAAGCAACACCAUCCUUAGACCCAGGCGAGGGCAGUCUCUGCCGUUGCUUAGCAGGGCCCUAAUCUGUCCUUCUUGAAGUCGCAGUCCUGGCCCACAGAUGACUGAAAUGACCAAAGAACUAGAAAAAAAUCCUUGCAUACCCACCUGCCAUAGUGUCCUAGAGCUGCCAUAACAAAGCACUGCACAUUGGGUGAUUACAGCAACAGAAAUUUAUUCUCUCCCAGUUCCAGAAGUUGGAAGUCAAGGUAUCAGUCGGGCCAGGCUCCCCCAGAGGCUGCAGGGGAGAAUCCUCCUUCACCACUUCCAGCUCCUGAAGGCUGCGGGCAAGGCUUGCAUUGCUCAACUCCUAUGCAGCUUCCCCCUUCCAGUCUCUGCCUUCAUCUUCACAUGGGCUUCUUCCUUCUGAGUGUAUCUCGGUGUGGUCUCUCCUCGUCUUAGAAGGACAGCAGUCACUGGACUUAGGGCGCACCAUACCCCUGUAUGAUAUCCUCUCAACAGUUACAUCUGCAAACACCCCAUUUCCAGUUAAGGUCACAUCCUGAGGUUCCUGGUGGAUGUGGAGUUUGGGGAGACAUUAUUCAACCCUGUACAAAGACUCUUGUUUUUUGUUUCUGUCUCUGUUUCUUUGUCUCUGUCAUUCUCUCUUCUUUGCAGGAUGAGUUAGCUUUGUAAAAAUUAAUUGGGACACUUUUAAAUUUUUUAUACCCUGAAAACAAUUCGAUCAUAUAGAAAUUCUCUCUUCCUUUAAGGUUUGACAGAAUUUGCCCAACGCCUCCCCCAAAUUGCCUAAGUUCACGUUUCAUCAAAGUCUUGCAGAGUUCUUUAUCAGCUGCUUCUGUGACUUUUCAUCUUGUUGAAUUUUUCUGCCUAUUCUUGAGUGGAUUAUAUUGUCUUAUUUUGGUUAAUAUUUUAUUAGCAUAAAUUUAAACACAGUGUGCUUUUAGCUUGAAUCCUCUUUCAUGUCUUUGUCUCUCAUCCCUUUUAUAUUUCUAGAGCUGUUUAUUUGCAUUUUUUUCUUUUUUUUCCUCAUGCAAACUAGCCAGAGGUUUGUCUCAUUUAUUGGUCUUUUUUUUUUUUUUUUUUUUUUUUUUUUUUUUUGCGCAUGGUUCCUAGUCGGAUUCGUUUCCACUGUGCCACGAUGGGAACUCCUUAUUGAUCUUUUAAAAGAGUUAGCUCUUUGAUUUGUCUUAUCAAUUCUAUUGUUUUCUGUUUUCUAAUUUGCUUUUGUCUGCUUUUCUCUUUCCUUCUUUCCUUCUGCCACCCUUAGAUUUAUUUUAUUAGUUUUUAAUCUCAGUUGUUUAGUUAAUUGCUUUUUUAUUCAUUUUUAUCUUAUAACAAAACCACUUAGCUUUAUCUUU